UUAAGUUGACUUAUUGCAGAUUGCCUUCUGCUGUGGCUGAACACUAGGUUUGUGUAAUAAAUUUUAAAAGUGUUAGCAGAGCUAACAGAUGUUUCCAUUCAAUUCUUAAUUAGUAAGGGUAUAUAUUAUUCACCUACUGGACAUUGGACUUAUGCUCCUGAGGAAGCUGGCAUCCAUUAGACCAGCGAAACGCGUUGAGCCUUCCUUGUAGGACCACAGGUACUAGCACCCCAUCCACCUCCUGGCGAUAUUUGGACUCAUCUGCUUCCACUGGAUUAAAAAUUCCGACACAAGCUCUCUUACAGACCCGGAUAUAUCCCUAAUUGCCAUCUGGACUCCAUUUGCUUGGGACUCCUAGGGGAUUUCUUUAUCCGGAAGCAAGUCUGGUCUUCUCCCUUUCGGACGCCAGCGAGAGGACUAUGGCAUGGAUCUUGAUUCACCACUAUGAAUUUACGAAUACAGUAUUAUGAUAAACAAUCUCCGACAAUAUACAUUAAUGGAAAUCAAUCAAGGAAAUAAAAGGCGUUUAUUUAACUGGAACUUGCGAAUGAAGUCAUUCUUCACCAGAUCGAUCUCCACUUCCCGUUAACAAAGUCUUCUCCCUUUCGGACGCCAGCGAGAGGACUAUGGCAUGGAUCUUGAUUCACCACUAUGAAUUUACGAAUACAGUAUUAUGAUAAACAAUCUCCGACAAUAUACAUUAAUGGAAAUCAAUCAAGGAAAUAAAAGGCGUUUAUUUAACUGGA